GUUUCUCUCUGCCGAGGUCUAACUUGAAUUUACAAUUGGCAUCGUAGUGUAUGUCCACGUUGUAGAGACGGCGUGAGCCAUCCGGUCGACGCAGCAUCUGUCCACCUAAUCGCUAGAAAUUUUAAUUCGUGGCGCGCCGAGCGGAGCAUUAGCUUUUGAAAUCGCGAUGUGUUACGCAGCGAGGGAGAUUUUGCUCGUGCACGAUGGCGAAUCGAUGGCGAGUCGGAUUGCUGCUGGAAACAACGUGGAUCGAGCUCUGGAUGUGAACGAAAGCGGAUGCAGAGGCCUGGACCAAACCGCGGUGGCGGCGCGACCAAGCGGCGCGCGUCGUUUCGUCAGUUGCGACGCGAGAUUCUUCUCGCCAGUAUGUUACAGACAUUCUUUGAGAUAAAAGCAACGAGAGGAAGCCAACACCUAAAUUGUCGCCGAUUGUCAAUAAAGUAAACGAACCGUAGCCGGUUCGUCGCGUCGCGCGUUUAUUCCGGGAGUGCCGUUUAAGUUAUCAGACUAAUAGACUUUUCAUAACUCCCAUUCGAUAGAAUCCUAAUUCGAGGGCCGGGAAUCGCACCCCCGCUGCUUGGCAGUGGAUAUCUUCUCUCUGGGGCGUUGCGUAUGGUGGCUAAGAAAGACGGCGCACCGCGACGUUCCAUGCCGAGUGCCCGUGCACGAGGUAAUGCCGGGCCGCGUGUACGACAUGCCCCGUGUGCAUGUUGCGCGGCUGUCUGGUUGUGUGAGGUUACACGCUCUGUCUCUGACGAUCGGUUCGGUCCUAAGCGGUAAGAGUUCGGAUCAGUUGCCUUGGAUUUGCACGUUUCUCUUGCUCUCGUCCACCAUCCUAAGGCUUUCUUAGAUUCUUGAUACCCUUUUUGGAUUCUUUGGAUUUGAGGUUCGAGCUAGGUGAAUGACAUUUAAUCUGACUUGGUCAGAACUUGGCCUUGUAGGUUAAGCUUGUGACGAGAGGCUGGCUCUCAUUUCCUGAUUCGUCUAAAAUGCUAGACGUCGGCAAUGAGUACCUUCUUCUCUCGUCCUGCCGGAGUGUCUUGUCGACGCCGCUUGGAUAUAAGAUCCAGUGGGACUGAUCUCGAUGAUCCGUUGGCUGGGCGUAUGAACGAGUCAAUUUUAGACGUGAUUUUUGUGAGACAAGAGGCUUCGGAUUCAAUGCUAUUGAUUUCGUUUUCUUCCGCGUGGGGCUUACCUUUUUUCGGGGGCGGGUACGCGUGCGUCCUACUCGCCGACUCGGGGUGCUGAAUCCAUGGGAAUCCUUCUGAAUGGGAACUCAUAUCAUGGGUUUUAUAAACUCAAAGUAUCGCAGUGUGUUCGCGCGAAAGACUUAUAAAUAUAUUUAAUUAGUCCACGGGCGCAAUUUUAGUGUUUAACGCGAGUGUUCCGCGAGUGUUUUACAAGUGCAACGACAGGAGGAGGCUUGACAAUCUGAGAGGAGGAGGAGGCCUGGGAGGCAGCGGGCGAUGGCUGAACAACCUUGGGGUAAGUAAUAUAAUUGCGAAAAGUAUCACCACAUAUGCCUCCGUGGUUGGUUGAGUUGGUUGAGUGGUCAAAGUGGCACUCGUCCAGAAAAAUCUGGAGGUCCCAUGUUCGAUGUCUGGUAGACGUGUUAUUUUUUGUAACAAGUUCCUUACAGCUGUUAAGGGAAAAGGUUUCUUAUUGAUUUUAUUGACAUGUUAAAUGCUUGUUAGCAUCGUUUACUAUUAAAUUGACUUUCAAUGUAAUAAUAAUGUGAUAUUACUAUGUCUUAUUUAAAACUUAAAAUUGUAUUUGAAGACCGAAAAUUUAUUUGGCGCGUACUUUCAUAAACUGAAAAAAUGUAUAUAAAUAUCAGUACAAAAAUCUAGCUAUUACUAUUAGAUUCCUCAUUUAUUUAUAUUUGAAAAUAGUACAAUUUAUUAUAUAUUAUUUAGAUUUUUACUAAUCAUUUAUUCCCAUUUACUUGCUGAUUCCUGAGAGAGACAUUGCUAUUUUGAAUUUUUAUUUUUAAGUAAAUUGACUUAUUAACUUAUC